UACAGAGGGGGCAAGCGUUGUUCGGAAUUACUGGGCGUAAAGGGCGCGUAGGCGGCCCGCUAAGUCGAACGUGAAAUCCCUGGGCUCAACCCAGGAACUGCGUCCGAUACUGGCAGGCUUGAAUCCGGGAGAGGGAUGUGGAAUUCCAGGUGUAGCGGUGAAAUGCGUAGAUAUCUGGAGGAACACCGGUGGCGAAGGCGGCAUCCUGGACCGGUAUUGACGCUGAUGCGCGACAGCGUGGGGAGCAAACAGG
rnacentral:rRNA from 1 species